AUGCAAAAACCCUAAAUAUUCUCUCGGCCGCCGCUAAGCACCAAUUCCGCCCUCCCGGAGCGUCUCUUCUUCUCUCCUCUCAUCGUUCUCGUCCUCGCAACCGCUGAGCUUCGAUCUGACCAAUUCUGGUCCUCGCGCGUUUGGCGUGCACAAGCCUAUCUUCCUUCAGGUGGGACAUGGAGCAGCGGGAGACGAUCUCGGCGUGCGCAGCAUGCAAGAAAAUGCGCCGCGAAUGUCCGCCGGACUGCAUCUUUGCGCCUUAUUUCCCCGCGACCAGCACCAGUUUUGACUGCGUGCAACGCAUUUAUGGAUGCGACAACGUCGGGAGGAUUCUCCAGAGUUUGCCGGUCGAGGAGCGCCGGGUGGCGGCGGAGUCGCUGGUGUUCCAGGCGAAGGCGCGCAUCCGUGACCCUAUCUUUGGCUGCGUCGGCUACAUUUGUUUCCUCCAGCAUUACCUCGCCCAAAUAGAUCGUGAGAUACAGGAGGCCGAGGCUGAAAUUUCUGCUGCGGGCUAUCAACUACCGCAACCUCCACCGCCGGAGCAGCACUGGCACCAGAUACCUCAGAUGCUGGAGAUGCCUCAGAUACCUUCGACGCCACCACCGCAGGAGACGACUAGGACAGAGAAGAAGAAUGGAUAGUUUCUUCAAUUCUAUAGUUGUUCUCAAUUCUAGUUUCUUCAAUCCCAGAGAAAUCUUCUAUUAAUAAACGAGGAACAUACUUCUGAAUCAUGUGGGACUUCUUGACAACUCUACCAAUAGCUUCUACUAAUUGCCUUGCAGAACAAUAAUCUAUCUUCUAAAAGCAAACAUGAUCGGCUAUUACAAACAAGAUCGAUGUAGAUUUUGCUAAUAAUACUUUGGACAUGAUUAUGAUGAUGCUCCUCCAUGUUAGACAUAUAAGUAUGUCUUUAUUCUGUAGCACCACCUGUCGGAUAGGAAGCACAUAUCUAUUCAACUACUAAGUUCGCAUGACAUCGUAUUAAUAAAUCAACAAUUUCACUUGUAGUUGCUAUCAUUUGUUUGUUAAAAUGUCGCAUUGUGUAGAAAAACUUUCAAUAGUUAUGUUUCCAUUCUUGAUCUUGAUUGUAUGAGGAAAGUGAUUGGUGUGGAUGAUGCAGCUUUACAAACACAUCAUUUCAUUCAAUGACUGAAACUUGAACACUUAUUAUGCUACUAUGGAUAUGAAAGCAUUUAGUUAAUAACUGUUUCUUCUUGAUUACUUCUCCCCGUAUGAUGUGAUAUGACUUGCUAUACUAGUUCCUACUGCUUGUAUCAUUAUUGUAUCAGAGCUUUGUUUAUAAGUGAUCGAGCAGAAAGGACCUCACAACUAGUUCAGCAGCCAGAUACAAUCACCAUUGAGGAAGUUGCCUCAUCUUCCAAGCCUAUGAGUCGUGCAAUAAGGAUUAUCACUAAUAAAAUAAAGAAGCUUAUUCAACUCUUACCUCAGCAAGAGAUAAACAGAGAAGAAGUCUCCCUCUUCGACAUGCUGUGGUUAUUGCCAACUAGUGUUAUCUUUGUACCAGCAUUUCAGAAAAUACCUGGAGGUAAUCUGGUACUAGGUUAUCUUGCAGCAGGAAUCUUGAUUGGCCCUUAAGGGUUGCCUAUCAUUCGUCAUGUUCAUGGUACAAAGGCCAUUGCUGAAUUUGGAGAUUGUUUUUUUCUGUUGUUCGAUAUUGGACUCGAGCUUUCUGUUGAAAGACUAAGCUCAAUGAUGAAAUGACUUUGGCUUUGGUUCCUCUCAGGUGAGUCGAUUGUGCUGUUGAAAUGUACUGGAUUGUUGCAAAGUUUGUUAUCGGAUGCUAUUUUUGUUGGUGUGAAUAUACAAGUUCCUCCGCCUUUUGGAAUGAGCCAGUAAUACGCUGACAGAGAUAAGAUGAUUGAGUAGUACUCGUGCAAAGAAAUAAAGGAAGUAAGAUGAUUUAGUACACUUAAUAAGAAAUUUUGUAUCUUGACAAUGCUUGAGGCGAUCAACUGGAUAACUGUGCUACAUCAGCUUCUUAUUGGAACACCAUCACUGGAAGUGUAAUCAAGGUAGCCCUGAACCUAAUAAUUCUUGGGAAAAAAUUAAAAGAGCAUUUAUUUAUUUAUUU